UACGUAGGGUGCAAGCGUUGUCCGGAAUUAUUGGGCGUAAAGAGCUCGUAGGCGGUUUGUUGCGUCGGCUGUGAAAUCCCGAGGCUCAACCUCGGGUCUGCAGUCGAUACGAGCAAACUAGAGUGUUGCAGGGGAGACUGGAAUUCCUGGUGUAGCGGUGAAAUGCGCAGAUAUCAGGAGGAACACCGGUGGCGAAGGCGGGUCUCUGGGCCGAUACUGACGCUGAGGAGCGAAAGCAUGGGGAGCGAACAGG
rnacentral:rRNA from 1 species